GCUUCAUAUGUUCUAUGCAAACUCCAUGAGCGUCCAGCUUUAAAAACAUCAGACUGUCAGCAAAGUUCACAGCACAUCAGUUUCACCUCAAACCAUGUUGUCUGUAGCUCUACUGCUGCUCUUUGCAGCUGCAUCCUGUGUGAAGUGUGAACAGUUGACUCAGCCAGAAUCUGUGACUGUGCAGCCAGGUCAACGUCUCUCCAUCACCUGUCAGGUCUCUUAUUCUUUGGGCAGCUACUGGACAGCUUGGAUCAGACAACCUGCAGGGAAAGGACUGGAAUGGAUUGGAAUGAAAUAUACUGGAGGCUCACACUACAAAGAUUCACUGAAGAACAAGUUCAGUAUCGAAUUAGACACUUCCAGCAAAACAGUGACUCUAAAUGGACAGAAUAUGCAGCCUGAAGACUCUGCUGUGUAUUACUGUGCCAGAGACACACAGUGACACAAAUGAUCAGUAGACCUGAACAAAAACCCCUCAGUGCCUGAACACUGUAACAUGAAGCCACCAGAGGAGGAGCCCUCAGACCAGGAAUGGAUUCAGACCAGUUCACUCAGUAAAACUCUCUUUGCUGUCAAUCUUUGCACCAUUAGCAGCUCACAGGACUUUCAAAAAACAAUUCCACUCUAAUAUUAAUUCAAAUAACAAAGUGACCUUCAAUGGGCCUCCAUCAGGAAGAAGUUAAUUUGUGAUUUUUUUUAAUCAUUACCACGAAUUUUAAAUCUAAUUCCAGCAGCAUUUACUGUUUCAUUUAAUAUGAUGUUAUAUAAUGUUCAACAGGGACAGAAUGUUUUGGAAACUGCUGCUGUCAGCUGGAUCCUGUGAGACUCUUUCACACAGACUCAGGAAAUAAUCACAUGAAUGAUGGAGAUAAUAAUAACUUCUGUGUCAACAGAAAUUCACAAUUACAGGUUUGACUAAGA